CCGAGUUUACAACUCCCAAACCCCUGUGAACUUAUACCUUUACUGUUGCUUCGGCGGGUUAUUGCCCCGGGGAAACAGGCGGCCGUCAGGUCCCUGCCCACCCGGAAACAGGCGCCCGCCGGGGGACUCAAACUCUUCUGUAUUUUUUUGUUUACUGUAUACUGUCUGAGUGAAAAAAACAAUAAAUCA
rnacentral:misc_RNA from 1 species